AUUGAACGCUGGCGGCAGGCCUAACACAUGCAAGUCGAACGAGGGGCGGACGGGUGAGUAAUGUCUGGGAAACUGCCGGAUGGAGGGGGAUAACUACUGGAAACGGUAGCUAAUACCGCAUACCAUCGGAUGUGCCCAGAUGGGAUUAGCUAGUAGGUGGGGUAAAGGCUCACCUAGGCGAAGAUCCCUAGCUGGUCUGAGAGGAGGACGCGCCCCACGGGAAGUGAGACACGGUCCAGCCUCCACCGGGGGGAAGCAGUGGGGCAUAUUGCACAAUGGGCGAAAUCCUGAGGCAGCCAUGCCCCGUGUAUGAGGAAGGCCUUGGGGUUGUAAGGUACUUUCAGCGGGGCGGCGUUACCCGCAGAAGAAGCCCCGGCUAACUCCGUGCCAGCAGCCGCGGUAAUAC
rnacentral:rRNA from 1 species